rnacentral:rRNA from 1 species
UACGGAGGGGGCUAGCGUUAUCCGGAAUUACUGGGCGUAAAGCGCACGUAGGCGGCUUUGUAAGUCAGAGGUGAAAGCCUGGAGCUCAACUCCAGAACUGCCUUUGAGACGGCAUCGCUCGAGUCCGGGAGAGGUGAGUGGAAUUCCGAGUGUAGAGGUGAAAUUCGUAGAUAUUCGGAAGAACACCAGUGGCGAAGGCGGCUCACUGGACCGGUAUUGACGCUGAGGUGCGAAAGCGUGGGGAGCAAACAGG